UCAUUUUUACAGUGCCUUUGGAUUCACCAA
rnacentral:piRNA from 1 species